UUUAUGGAGAGUUUGAUCCUGGCUCAGGAUGAACGCUGGCGGCGUGCCUAAUACAUGCAAGUCGAGCGAACGGACGAGAAGCUUGCUUCUCUGAUGUUAGCGGCGGACGGGUGAGUAACACGUGGAUAACCUACCUAUAAGACUGGGAUAACUUCGGGAAACCGGAGCUAAUACCGGAUAAUAUUUUGAACCGCAUGGUUCAAAAGUGAAAGACGGUCUUGCUGUCACUUAUAGAUGGAUCCGCGCUGCAUUAGCUAGUUGGUAAGGUAACGGCUUACCAAGGCAACGAUGCAUAGCCGACCUGAGAGGGUGAUCGGCCACACUGGAACUGAGACACGGUCCAGACUCCUACGGGAGGCAGCAGUAGGGAAUCUUCCGCAAUGGGCGAAAGCCUGACGGAGCAACGCCGCGUGAGUGAUGAAGGUCUUCGGAUCGUAAAACUCUGUUAUUAGGGAAGAACAUAUGUGUAAGUAACUGUGCACAUCUUGACGGUACCUAAUCAGAAAGCCACGGCUAACUACGUGCCAGCAGCCGCGGUAAUACGUAGGUGGCAAGCGUUAUCCGGAAUUAUUGGGCGUAAAGCGCGCGUAGGCGGUUUUUUAAGUCUGAUGUGAAAGCCCACGGCUCAACCGUGGAGGGUCAUUGGAAACUGGAAAACUUGAGUGCAGAAGAGGAAAGUGGAAUUCCAUGUGUAGCGGUGAAAUGCGCAGAGAUAUGGAGGAACACCAGUGGCGAAGGCGACUUUCUGGUCUGUAACUGACGCUGAUGUGCGAAAGCGUGGGGAUCAAACAGGAUUAGAUACCCUGGUAGUCCACGCCGUAAACGAUGAGUGCUAAGUGUUAGGGGGUUUCCGCCCCUUAGUGCUGCAGCUAACGCAUUAAGCACUCCGCCUGGGGAGUACGACCGCAAGGUUGAAACUCAAAGGAAUUGACGGGGACCCGCACAAGCGGUGGAGCAUGUGGUUUAAUUCGAAGCAACGCGAAGAACCUUACCAAAUCUUGACAUCCUUUGACAACUCUAGAGAUAGAGCCUUCCCCUUCGGGGGACAAAGUGACAGGUGGUGCAUGGUUGUCGUCAGCUCGUGUCGUGAGAUGUUGGGUUAAGUCCCGCAACGAGCGCAACCCUUAAGCUUAGUUGCCAUCAUUAAGUUGGGCACUCUAAGUUGACUGCCGGUGACAAACCGGAGGAAGGUGGGGAUGACGUCAAAUCAUCAUGCCCCUUAUGAUUUGGGCUACACACGUGCUACAAUGGACAAUACAAAGGGCAGCGAAACCGCGAGGUCAAGCAAAUCCCAUAAAGUUGUUCUCAGUUCGGAUUGUAGUCUGCAACUCGACUACAUGAAGCUGGAAUCGCUAGUAAUCGUAGAUCAGCAUGCUACGGUGAAUACCUUCCCGGGUCUUGUACACACCGCCCGUCACACCACGAGAGUUUGUAACACCCGAAGCCGGUGGAGUAACCUUUUAGGAGCUAGCCGUCGAAGGUGGGACAAAUGAUUGGGGUGAAGUCGUAACAAGGUAGCCGUAUCGGAAGGUGCGGCUGGAUCACCUCCUUUCU
rnacentral:rRNA from 1 species